AUUGAACGCUGGCGGAAUGCUUUACACAUGCAAGUCGAACGGUAGAGGGGGCAACCCCUUGAGAGUGGCGAACGGGUGAGUAAUAUAUCGGAACGUGCCCAGUCGUGGGGGAUAACGUAGUGAAAAUUACGCUAAUACCGCAUACGAUCUAGGGAUGAAAGCGGGGGAUCGCAAGACCUCGCGCGAUUGGAGCGGCCGAUAUCAGAUUAGGUAGUUGGUAGGGUAAAGGCCUACCAAGCCAACGAUCUGUAGCUGGUCUGAGAGGACGACCAGCCACACUGGAACUGAGACACGGUCCAGACUCCUACGGGAGUCAGCAGUGGGGAAUUUUGGACAAUGGGCGAAAGCCUGAUCCAGCCAUUCCGCGUGCAGGAUGAAGGCCCUCGGGUUGUAAACUGCUUUUGUACAGAACGAAAAGGUCUCUAUUAAUACUAGGGGCUCAUGACGGUACUGUAAGAAUAAGCACCGGCUAACUACGUGCCAGCAGCCGCGGUAA
rnacentral:rRNA from 1 species